CCACGGUUACAAAGCAGUGGUGGAAAGGGUGCUGGAGUGAAAAGAAGCAGAUUGCAACGACCGCUUGCGCUGCAAGCAUAAGGCAGCUGUCAAGUGU
rnacentral:SRP_RNA from 1 species